rnacentral:lncRNA from 9 species
UUUUGUAGCGCGGGGCCCGUGGGCAAGAGGCCCGGGAGACUGCGAUAGCAGAGGGGAAGUCGCCAAUGGCUACCUGGAUCGAGUCCCCUUUGUAUUUCGUUCACAUCACCCUUUUUUCUUCCACCGAGACACCGCAUCCUUUGGCUACCGUCGGUGGCGCGGUGGUGGGAGUGUAAGAGGAGGUCUGCUUCCGCUGCCACCAUUACCUGUUUCUUGGAUGGUUAAGCUUGAGUAAAGGAAACUUCUGGGAAGUGGCCAAAGACCCUUGACAUGCCCCCCGCAGAGGAAACAUCGCUGACGUCAUCUCUGCUUGUCCACUCUGUGCUUCAGUCAAGCCCAAGGCCAUCCCAGCGGCAAACUUUUGCUGCCCUCUCCCAGAAUGCCUGCUGAAACUGCCUCCUUGAGUCUGAAGGGGACCAGUGGAAACUUUGGGGGACAUAUUUUCGGGAGGCCAAGGCUCAAAUUGCCUGCCCAGGAACACAGUCAAGGAAGUGCUUUGGUCUAUUCUAGGCUUGUGGUCCAACACCAGAGACAGCUUCCUUGUAAACUCGAAGAGGUUGAUCAUGGGUCUAUUAUUUGCAUAGUGUAUCUUUGCAUCUGCAUUCACUUAAUAUCCAAAUGCUUAGAAAACUGCCAGCCAGUUUUGUGGCUCUAACAAGGCAGUGUCUUGUUCUUUGAAAGCCUCCGAGUAAAAACAGUUUAUAUGUGCUUUGGAAGUGCUUGUCUGAAAUCUAAAGUUAACCUCUGUUUGUAUUCACGUCUUCUGGAUUAGUUACAGUACCCUGAACACUGAGCAGAGGACAGAGGGAGUAGGGUUUUGUUUUUCUCAGUCUGGAAAAGCCCAUCCUUGCUCUGUCUGUAAGCAUAUCCUUCUGGGAGGAAAAUGUUAUCAGCAAUAUUCCGAUGACCUGGGAUGGGGCUGAGGAUCAGGAAGGGAGCCCAACAACCCGAGGAUCGUUUUUGUGUUUCUUUUGGUGUUAAAUUGCUGUCUUGUUGAUGGAGGAAGGUAAGAAGGGGUGGAGACCCGGCUCGGUGGAGUUGGGAGGAGCAUGGGCAGAGUCAUGUGGGCUUGGCUUCCUUUCCUUCGAUCUCGCUUACCCAGUGAGCUAGAGAGAAUUUGCAACCACCUUCAACUAGAGAACAAUCUGCAAGCCAAUCUGCCCUGGGCACUGCCUCCGGGAACUUACACUCUCACAGAUAACACAAGUUCUGCAAACAGAUGUGUGGAGGGGUGUGGGAUGCAGCAAUGGGGAUUUUUCUGGUAAGCAGUAGAAAGGAUUUUCUCAUAACUAGAGAUCUCAACUGUGACAAGGGCUGGGCUUCCUUAGGUAUUUAUGGUCAUAGAUAUGGACAGGGAGUCUAGGCUAGAUGACCACCCAUCAGAAAUCCUACAGUGCAUGUUCCUGGGCUGGGUGAGGGGCGAACUGAUGACCCCUGUGGUUCCCUUCUAAUUCUAAGAGCCCGCCAUUUUCAAAUAUAUUAGUGAUCCUAGGCAGUGUGCAAUGAAUGGCGUGAACUUUAGAGGGAUUCUCUUCACUGAUUAGCUGUUGAGUGUGUACUUUGUCCUUUGGCUAGAUGCUACGGCAGAUCCAGGGAUGUGAAGAAUGGGGUUCAAGAUCUUUGCAAAGGCCACUGCCACUCAGGGCAACCUGAGGCAGAAGGGUUCCAGGCCAGAGUGAGAGUCUCCGUUUACUUUUCAAUCAAAGCCCAGGGGUCAGCAUCCUCUUAGGCCAUUGCCCUGGGAUUUGUUUCUUCAUGAGACACCGGAUUGAAAGAUUUCUAGGGCUUUUGAUCUGGAGGAGAGAGGGCAGAAAAGACAACCCGUAUGGAUCCAGAGAGACGUGCUGAGGGAGUGAGGCCAUGUCUGGCAGGGUGAAAGCCGGGUGAAGAUAGAGACCCCCCCACCCCCGUCCCCACCGCCAUCGGGAUAUGCUGGGAUGGGGACAGGAAUGAGAACUGGGAGGAAAAUGAGGUGGAAAUGAAUGGGCCCCUGUAGGAAGAGGUAAUGAGGUGAAUCAGAAAAAUCUGUCACUGAGAUCCAAGGAGAGACCAGGAGGUUUCAUCUCCCUCGGUCUUUUUAAAAAAUGAGCCGUGUCAGUUAGAGGAUCUGGAUUGAUGAAGACAGAUCUGUUUCCUUGGCUCUUACCAGGAGGCUAGGAAUGGAGCAGGUGGGGGCUUUACUGUGGCUGCUGAGAGAGAUGUCGCUACCCCAGCCCUUGGGCAGCCCGGCACCAGCUCAGGGCCCCAUCUUUCUUUUCCCACCUUUGGCAAAAGGAAUCCUGCUAAGCCCCUAGAACUCCUUCCCUGGCCAGUGCUAGGCACCCCGCACCCCCUCCCCAUCAGCAGACUCCUCAGGAAGAGUCUGGGCACCUGUAAGCCAGGGAGAGUGGUGGGGUGGGUGGGGGGGAUCCCUGCUCUG